CAGUAGCCACGGUAAUACAGAGGGUGAGAGCGUUAAUCGGAUUUACUGGGCGUAAAGCGUGCGUAGGCGGCUAAUUGAGUCGGAUGUGAAAUCCCUGAGCUUAACUUAGGAAUUGCAUUCGAUACUGGGAAGCUAGAGUAUGGGAGAGGAUGGUAGAAUUCCAGGUGUAGCGGUGAAAUGCGUAGAGAUCUGGAGGAAUACCGAUGGCGAAGGCAGCCAUCUGGCCUAAUACUGACGCUGAGGUACGAAAGCAUGGGGAGCAAACAGGAUUAGAUACCCCCGUAGUCCCUGUCUCUUAUAC
rnacentral:rRNA from 1 species